UACAGAGGUCUCAAGCGUUGUUCGGAUUUAUUGGGCGUAAAGGGCGUGUAGGUGGCGCCGUAAGUCAGGUGUGAAAUUUCGGGGCUUAACUUCGAAACUGCAUUUGAUACUGCGGUGCUUGAGGACUGGAGAGGAGACUGGAAUUUACGGUGUAGCGGUGAAAUGCGUAGAGAUCGUAAGGAAGACCAGUGGCGAAGGCGGGUCUCUGGACAGUUCCUGACACUGAGGCACGAAGGCCAGGGGAGCAAACAGG
rnacentral:rRNA from 1 species